AGCUUGCUCUUAUGAAGUUAGCGGCGGACGGGUGAGUAACACGUGGGUAACCUGCCCAUAAGACUGGGAUAACUCCGGGAAACCGGGGCUAAUACCGGAUAACAUUUUGAACCGCAUGGUUCGAAAUUGAAAGGCGGCUUCGGCUGUCACUUAUGGAUGGACCCGCGUCGCAUUAGCUAGUUGGUGAGGUAACGGCUCACCAAGGCAACGAUGCGUAGCCGACCUGAGAGGGUGAUCGGCCACACUGGGACUGAGACACGGCCCAGACUCCUACGGGAGGCAGCAGUAGGGAAUCUUCCGCAAUGGACGAAAGUCUGACGGAGCAACGCCGCGUGAGUGAUGAAGGCUUUCGGGUCGUAAAACUCUGUUGUUAGGGAAGAACAAGUGCUAGUUGAAUAAGCUGGCACCUUGACGGUACCUAACCAGAAAGCCACGGCUAACUACGUGCCAGCAGCCGCGGUAAUACGUAGGUGGCAAGCGUUAUCCGGAAUUAUUGGGCGUAAAGCGCGCGCAGGUGGUUUCUUAAGUCUGAUGUGAAAGCCCACGGCUCAACCGUGGAGGGUCAUUGGAAACUGGGAGACUUGAGUGCAGAAGAGGAAAGUGGAAUUCCAUGUGUAGCGGUGAAAUGCGUAGAGAUAUGGAGGAACACCAGUGGCGAAGGCGACUUUCUGGUCUGUAACUGACACUGAGGCGCGAAAGCGUGGGGGAGCAAACAGGAUUAGAUACCCUGGUAGUCCACGCCGUUUACGAUGAGUGCUAAGUGUUAGAGGGUUU
rnacentral:rRNA from 1 species